UACGGAGGGUGCGAGCGUUGUCCGGAAUCACUGGGCGUAAAGGGCGCGUAGGCGGCUCAUGAAGGCUGUGGUGAAAGUCCGGGGCUCAACCUCGGAUCGGCCGUGGCGACUCGUGGGCUGGAGCACUGGUAGAGGCGGGUGGAAUUCCGGGUGUAGCGGUGGAAUGCGUAGAGAUCCGGAAGAACACCAGUGGCGAAGGCGGCUACCUGGACCAGCACUGACACUGGAGGCACGAAAGCGUGGGGAGCAAACAGG
rnacentral:rRNA from 1 species